rnacentral:rRNA from 1 species
UGCCAGCCGCCGCGGUAAUACGAAGGGGGCUAGCGUUAUUCGGAAUAACUGGGCGUAAAGCGCGUGUAGGCGGACUUACAAGUCAGGGGUGAAAUCCCGGGGCUCAACCUCGGAACUGCCUUUGAAACUGUAAGUCUUGAGUUCGGUAGAGGAUAGUGGAAUUCCUAGUGUAGAGGUGAAAUUCGUAGAUAUUAGGAGGAACACCAGUGGCGAAGGCGACUAUCUGGGCCGAUACUGACGCUGAGACACGAAAGGGUCGGGAGCAAACGGGAUUAGAUA